AAAGAGGAUCUUAUGAAAGAAAUGCGUAAUUGGCUAAUUUGACUAAUUACGUGAAAUAUGGGCUAAAACGGAUUAUAAUAAUAGUUUGACACUCUACAAGCUAGGUGGAGGCUUGGGAAAGAAGCGGUCAAACGAAUCAAGCACGAGAAGAAAAAGCGUAUUCGGGUGCGAGGAGUAAAUGUGAAAUGGGUAUUAGCAACGCCAUGGAUUAGCGGUUAUAAAAGCAAGGUAUUAAAAACGGGUUGAUAUAUUGACCCGCGCCAGGUACACUAUGGGAUGCCGGAAGACGAUCAAACUGAAGAACCGAACACAAUAAAGACUCAUGCUUCCGCACAUUGCCUCGUUGUAAAUUUUAACGACGAACCCAAUCACGUUCAUAGAAUAGCUUAUGAAUUGUAAAAGUUUUAAUUUACUCGGAAUUGUCUAAGGAUUCAUAACACUAAAUACAUGUCGGUUUUCGUAA